UACGUAGGGGGCUAGCGUUGUCCGGAAUCAUUGGGCGUAAAGAGCGUGUAGGCGGUCCGGUAAGUCCGUUGUGAAAGUCAGGGGCUCAACCCUUGAAUGCCGGCGGAUACUGUCGGGCUAGAGUCCGGAAGAGGCGAGUGGAAUUCCCGGUGUAGCGGUGAAAUGCGCAGAUAUCGGGAGGAACACCUAUGGCGAAGGCGGUUCUCUGGGACGGGACUGACGCUGAGACGCGAAAGCGUGGGGAGCGAACAGG
rnacentral:rRNA from 1 species